UUGGAAGGGCAGCAGUGGGGAAUAUUGCACAAUGGGCGCAAGCCUGAUGCAGCCAUGCCGCGUGUAUGAAGAAGGCCUUCGGGUUGUAAAGUACUUUCAGUCGUGAGGAAGGUGUUAAGGUUAAUAACCUUAGCAAUUGACGUUAGCGACAGAAGAAGCACCGGCUAACUCCGUGCCAGCAGCCGCGGUAAUACGGAGGGUGCGAGCGUUAAUCGGAAUUACUGGGCGUAAAGGGCACGCAGGCGGUUAAUUAAGUUGGAUGUGAAAUCCCCGGGCUUAACCUGGGAAUGGCAUUCAAGACUGGUUAGCUAGAGUCUUGUAGAGGGGGUAGAAUUCUAUGUGUAGCGGUGAAAUGCGUAGAGAUGUGGAGGAAUACCGGUGGCGAAGGCGGCCCCUGGACAAGACUGACGCUCAUGUGCGAAAGCGUGGGGAGCAAACGAGGAUUAGAUACC
rnacentral:rRNA from 1 species